GACGAACGCUGGCGGCGUGGAUUAGGCAUGCAAGUCGAACGGUAGGAUACCUUCGGGUAUCUGAGAGUGGCGAACGGGUGAGUAACACGUAGGUGACUCUACCCUCAAGAUUGGGACAACCCAGGGAAACUUGGGCUAAUACCGGAUGAAAGCAGCAGUGAUGUUGUUUGAAAGGUGGCGUAAGCUGCCGUUUGGGGAUGAGCCUGCGCUCUAUUAGUUAGUUGGCGGGGUAAAGGCCCACCAAGGCGAUGAUAGAUAGGCGGCCUUAACGGGUGGUCGCCCACACUGGGAUUGAGAUACGGCCCAGACUCCUACGGGAGGCAGCAGUCGAGAAUAGUCUACAAUGGCCGAAAGGCUGAUAGUGCGACGCCGCGUGAACGAAGAAGCCCUUCGGGGUGUAAAGUUCUUUUAUAUGUGAGCAGUGCUUUCUAUGUGAACAGCAUGGGGAGAGAGAUAUUAGCAUAUGAAUAAGCAACGGCUAACUCCGUG
rnacentral:rRNA from 1 species